AUGAUCACACUCUUUGUGGCUCUUUACUCUCUGCUUUGUCUCUGCACAACUGGAAACACUUCUGACAUCAAGGAGCUUCAAGUGAAAACAGUAAACCAUGGAGAUACUGUAACUAUGGAGUGUAAUGUCAAAAGCAGAAGUAAUUUAGCUUGGUACAGACAGAGUUUUGGAAAAGUGCCUCAGGUUUUUAUAAGACACUACCAAGCAAGCAAUCAGAGCUACACAUUUGUUGAUGGAUUUAAUGAUAACCGCUUCAGUGGUACUGUAGAAGAACAAAAGUUUGAUCUCAACAUUAAUGAAAUAAGAGAAGAUGAUGGAGGAGAAUAUUUCUGUGGAUAUGUGGAGGGAAGUACACCAAAGUUCACAUCUGGAACACGUCUGCAGUUUGAAGGUGAAGAGAUGAAACCCUGUCCUACACCUGGAACACUUAACAAGAACACACACUCUGUUACACACCAGGGUUCAAACAGCAGAGAUGGAGAAGGUGCUUCAUCAAACAACCAUCAAAUUCCCACCAAUCAGGCUGAUGAUGAAGAUGUCUUGAACUAUGCAGCUGUGAGUUUUGCUAAGAAACCUUCAUCCUCCAGAACAUCCAGAGACACGAGCCAUCAAGACGUUUAUGCACAAGUUAAAAUAAAAUAGAUAAAGAGAAAUAAAGUCAGAACUGAAAAACAAUAUGAAUGUAAUCAUCCCAGUUUGUACACAGAUGUGUUAUUCAGACAAAAACAUUUUCAUUACUGAAACGUUUA